ACACACACACACACACACACACACACACACACACACACGUCUAGAAGGCUUUUUCCCAAAGCUUUUUUUCUUCUUUUCAUUUCUUAUUACAUUGAUUUAUUGAGUUACAGGUACAGUUUUCAGAUAUUUAUUCAUCUAACCUGAGUGAUAAUUUUUAAAUGAUUCUUCUUCAAUAAAAUAUCUUAAACUUAUAUUUUCAAAGUAGGCACUAGCAAUAUACUUUUUACCAAAUAUUUCACUUACACAUAAAAAUUUAUUUCAUUUGCGGAGAAAUUUUUUUUUAAUUUCUUCUUGUUGUGGUAAUUUAAGGAAAUUAGUUGACAGCAAAAGUGAUAGCAUGGCUUGAAAAAUGGCUUUAUAAUGUCAUGUGCUUUGAAUAGCUUACUCAGCUCCCAGCUAGACUCUAAACAUGUAGGAGACAUAAUUAUUUAAUAAUAUCAAGGGCAAUAAAAUCUCACACAAACAAUUUUAAUUGCUUUGAAGAAUAAAAACAGUGAGGCUGAUUUAUUCCUCAUUAAUAUUUAGCCUUAUAUCUAUGAAUGCAGCUAACCCAAGUUCUCUUUCAAUGGCCUCAAAUACACAGAAAGGGUGGAAUGUUCUGGGUCAGGGGGGUGCCUCUCUUCCUGCACUGGGCUGCUUUGACGGUUCUAAAUCAUCAUGCUUCUCUCCGGGAGGGAGGCUGGCUCAUACUGUCUAUUCUAGCAUGAAGGUGAAGAGAGACUCUGUGACUGUAGGCUCAUGUUUUAACUUGAAGCUCUGGCUGACCUUGCAAACAGCACUGGCAUUUAGUCUGAUUGUUUUAACACUCAGGGAAACACAUCUAACCUUAGGGUCCCUGAGAAACAGCCUCGACAUUGGCUGCUGUGUGUGAGCCUCAAGUAUGUUGAUGUGACCAAAUUUGUGUGACCAUGACCAGGGUAUAAGGGUUUAGGUUACCCCAAGUUCCAUUGUUCCAAUGUGGAAGCAGUUUCAUGAAGUCGUUGUGGUAACAGAUUAAAUAAAGUUAUGAACCAAGGGCUUCAUAAAAUGCAUCUGUGGAAAUAUCAUAAAGGUGAUUGCAGUCAGACAUAGAAAUCUCAGAUAUAGCCCUCAGAUGUUAUCUAACAUCAUUUUUCAUCUUUUGUUUGGUAGAGAAUAGGAUUUUGUUAAGUUAAUACAUUCCAAAUAUUUUUAAUCUGUUAUCGGGUUGUUAGGUCUGACACAGGUGGGCAAGGAAUGCCUCCUUAGGGGCUAAAGAGUGCCUGAAAGAAACUGUAUUACUCUGGAGCUGCAACAUUCCAGCCUCCCCAUGGCCACGGAAGUUUUAACCAGUGGUUCAACCUGUGUUGACAGCUUUGUCCUGGAAGUUCUCAUUCACACAUACCAUUAUUAAUGGAGGAUACUGUAUGGUUCCCUUCCCCUGCAUUUGUAAAGAUGAACAGAAAGCUAUCAGAAAGUCAAGGAGUACCUCUGUUUCUUUCACUCUCUGUAUGGAUUAUGAUAUGCUGAGAAACCUGUGAGAUCCCAAGAGCUCCAGAGUGAGGGUCGUUACAUUUGGAAGGUUGGUUAGUGAUAGUAUGCGUGUCUGGCAUUGUCAGUCAUAGUCGCCACCACUGCUCUUAUUCUACAGCAUCAGCAGAACUUCUGCACACAGAAAAAGCUUUAACAAUGUUGAUGAAUCCUUAAUUGGAAGAGGCAGGCUUCUUGACCCUCAAGGCCCUGGAUGAUAUACUCUUUCUCUUUGAUUUAUAUCUUAAACGUUAAAACUCUGUAACAAAAACUCGGUGCCAACUUGUUAAACAUCACAGGGAGAUUUGAUAAUAGAAAGCCUUGUACAAAAGGGCAUCCAGUUAGAGGUGAACGUGUAUAUCCACAGGGAAUUCUUGCUAUCUGGAGACAAUUGCAUCAUUUAUAGCUUUGACAGUAUUGGUAAUAGACUCAGGAGUCAUAUAAUGAAGCCUCUGUGAGGAAAGAGAAUAGAAACUUCCUAUCAUUUUCACUAGCAGGUCAAUAUCAAGAAUUAAAACUCUUCUGAUAUAAAGGUAUGCAGAAUUAAAUUUUUUCUAAGGGAAGUUUCUCUAAAAACAAAACAAAACAAACCAGAUAUCUUUCAACACAGACAAUUCUAAAGGCACAAUCUGCUGUUUGCAUUUCUGCAGAGAUAUGGAUUAACUUCCAUGCAGGAUUGUGGCCUGCAGUUGUAGUUGUAGUUUAACCUGAAAAUCAAGAACUAUGGCUGUGUGAGUAGGUGACAAAGGUGAGAUUUGCUAGUCCUCUGGUCCUCAUCUGCAGUCCUGGUAACCAGGGAGCUAGAGUGUAAGUGAGGUGGAAAACUCAGUUAAGGGUCCCUUAGAGUCCUUUCUUGUGCUCCUCAUUUGUCUGUGUUUUGUGGCUAAUGUCUACAAAAUCCUAUUUUUCUUCUGUUUGGGGGAGAUUGGGCCCAAGUGAAAAAAUGAUUGGGUUUAGACUAUUUGUUCACCACCUAGGUAAGUUUCUGUGGUUUUAAUAUACUUCCUUAAAUCACAUUAUAGCACUUUAAGGAAGAGCAAAAGCUUCCUUUGAGUGAACUGGAUAGAAUUUUCACCUUUAUUAGCUUCGUGACUUUGGGUAUUUACAUAACACACUAAGCCUCACUGUCUUUAAAUGGAUGCCUUAAGUAUAUUGACCUCAUAGGAAUUCUUGAGUUUUAAAUUAUGGAAUCUCUGUAAAGAUUUGGUACCACUAUGUGGCAUUUAAUCAGUAGCCAAUAAAUAAUCUCUUUACUGUAUGUGAUUCAGAUGUGAAAUAUUUUCUAAGGCUUUUGAUAAUGGUGAAGCACUAUCGUGAAGCCAGGGGAUUUAUUACACUUCAUAAAUCUUUGAUGUUGGUAGCUUCUGAAGAGGUUGCUCUGCAGGGAUGAGACUUAACUCAUCUGUCCUGGAAGGAAAGUGUCUGUUGGACACAACGAAUGUUGAGUUCCUCACUUGGAGAACUAGGGGAGAACUGGGUUUGGGGGUGGGGCUAUUGUCAAAGGGACCAGCUUUUCAAACAGUUCUGCCCCCCAUUAUUGCACCUCCCUCAGUCUCUGUGCUUCGUGAUGCAGGAGAACCAGUGCUUAAGUUGAAAUGAAAUAAUGCUAAAGCCUGACUUGUGGGAGGGGCCCCUGCACCUCUGCAGAAUCUGGUUGCCACUUUCUUUUCUAUUCUGUGUAAUUACAUAUCCAGUAGAACUUUUUCACUGACAAAGCAAUAUUUGGAUAAACACCAAGGAAGCCUUUAAAUCAACUAAUUAAUUCAGGAUUUCCUUCCAUUUCUUAAUUUUGAACCAUACUAUGAUUUUUUAAAGAAAAUUAAAAGCUAAAUUUACUGGAACUUCCUACAACUGGAAUGCCCUCAAAUUCUCGUGUAAUUUGUUGGUUUCUUCCCUGAAUCUAUCACCCUUCCUUCCUUCCUUCCUUCCUUCCUUCCUUCCUUCCUUCCUUCCUCCCUCCCUCCCUCCCUCCUCCCUCCCUCCCUCCCUUCCUUCCUUCCUUCCUUUCUUUCUUCCUCUGUUUCUCAUUCUGAGUAGUGUAUGAUGAGUCUUAACUUGAUAUAAAGAGCAGAAAUACAGUCCCCUUUUAACAGUUGUUGCAAAACCUUAUAGAUUGCUUUCACAUCAUUUUGAAAGAUCAUGCUGCAUUUUCAAUUCCCAGGUACCUCUGGCCUCUGGUAACACCUGGCCAAUUCUCCACUGCAUGUCUGGUAAUCCAGUCUUCAGUGGAUCUCAUCACCUGUCCCAACAUUCUCUCUCUCUCUGUCUCUCUGUCUCUCUCUGUCUCUGUCUCUCUCUGUCUCUCUCUCUCUUCUCUCUCUCUCUUUCUUUCUCUCACUCUCUCAUUCUCUCUCUCUCUCAUUCUAGAGAUUACCAACAUGAACAGAUAGAUGGUGGCGAGAAUAAGCAUACUAUAAUACAAUGUGAAAAGCACUUAAAUUGGCCAAUAAAGCAAUUUUGUCUGAAACCCAGCAAGCAGUAGAAUCAGAAAGUUUGUUAAUUUCAACUGUUUUUUUUUUAAAUCAUUUACCUGUCCCUCUACUUCUGCUUAUGUAAUUGGUCAUGAUUACAGAUGUUUCCCUUUUCAGUCCCAUCAACACAGCACAUUCAGAGCUCAAACUCUGGUCUUCCAAGCCCAUGCCUAGAGAAGACUCCAAUUUUUUUUUUAGAUAUCAAAUCAUGAUCUUAUACUUUAAAGGAUUUCCUUUCCUCUUUCUUGAAGGUUAAUUCUACAGAGACUUUGGAAUACCUCUAUCUCCACAUAUGUAUUAAGUUUAUACCACAGGCACUACCUUUAUGACUCUUAGGCCAUUUUCCAUGGAAAGGAAUGCCACUUUCCAUGGCAGCCUUCUUCUUCAAACCCUUACUGUCAGUGUAUGCUCUCUCUCUCUCUCUCUCUCUCUCUCUCUCUCUCUCUCUCUCUCUCUGUGUGUGUGUGUGUGUGUGUGUCUCUGUCUGUGUGUGUGUGUGUACAUGAAUGUGUGUUUACACAGGUAUGUGUACACUACUUAUUUUAGAUUCUUAUUCUUCACAGUUAAUGUAUUAUACGCAUUCAGUACACUGUGUGCUUUUACAUAGUAAUACCCAAUGAUCUUCUUAAAUCUGUUAUUCAUUAAAAACAGAUAAAAAUGAAAGGACUUACACUUUUUGAAAGGUUAAGCAUUUUACCCAAAGAAAAAAAAUUUCUACAUGUAAAAACUUCUAUCCAAUGUAAGAGCGCCUAUCCAAACAUUGCUCAGGUUGAUGGCGUGCUUGUGCAAGGCUGUCCCAUUAAACGAUAUCCAAUGGAGUAGUGUUUUAGAAUGGCACAGAACAAUUCCAAACACUGUCUUACUUAGUGAUGCACUUAACAAAAUCAAAUCGUUUGUAUUUCCUGAUGGGGAAUGUACUGUGUAUGUUUAUCUUAUUGAUUGUAAAAUAAAAUACUGUUUGGCCAAUGAGAUAGCAAGAAGAUAGGACUAGGAGUCAAAGAGGAUUCUGGGAAAUGUAGUAGAGAAGUGGUGAUCCAGGUAGGAAGUGACAUAGCAAGGAGACUCAUAUUUAAGUGAAGGAGAAACACGAAGGGUCCCUCCUUUCCCCUUCGCCUCCUCCAACAGCAGGAUGUGAUCCACCAGGAAGAAGAGAUGCCAAUAAGGUGUCCGAUAAGUCUUAUAAAAUAUAUAGGUUUAUGAUAGUUAAGACUGAGCUAGCAGAUGAGAAGUCCUAGUCAUUGUCCAAGCAGCUUUGAACCUAAUACAAGUUUCUGUGUAUUCAUUUGGGCCUAACUUGGGCCAUAUGACGCCACGGAAUAGGCAGAGAUCAAGGAAUGGAAAAUUACCCAGCGCCUGCGCAAUAAUCUUGUUUACAUUCGGUGCCUGCUGGAUGCAGCGCCAUCUUGUAAUGGAGAAUGCAGGGACGGCUCCCUACACUGAUGGCCCUAUCUUCUAGUUUGACAGCACACUAAUCUGCAGAACCUACUGACCAUAGUUAUGUGAACAAACCAAGGAGAUUAGUGGAGUCAUGAAGCAGGGCAGGCCAUUCCUGGUCAAAUUGUGACCUUGAGAUCUAAGUAAAUGUUUCUUGUUGUAAAUCUCCAAGUUUGGAAUAGCUUCAUGUGUGUGAAAUGCUUGAUAAAACAGCCAAAGCAGGCAAGUAAGUUGUUUUAAGCUUUAUUUUUAUGUCACUCCUCAGCUCAAAACUAAAGCCAGCAUCCCUCAGGUAGUCAAGUCCAUGUGUGUUCUGGGACCGUCUGACCUCACUUCGAGUCACUGUUUCCCUUUGCUCAGGUCUCCCAAAUACAUCAGUGUCGUGCUGUUCAUCAAACCCAGAAGUCACAUUUCACAUUAAUUCAUUUCAUUUAUCAAUAAUGUUUAUCAUACACUUUCCCAUAUGAACUAUACAAUGCCAUGUCUCAGGAUCUCUGCCUGAAUUCUUUUUUUUUUUUUUUUUUCUGAGACAGGGUUUCUCUGUGGCUUUGGAAGUUGUCCUGGAACUAGCUCUUGUAGACCAGGCUGGUCUCAAACUCACAGAGAUCCACUUACCUCUGCCUCCUGAGUGCUGGGAUUAAAGGCGUGUGAAACCCCUGCCCAGUUCUCUGCCUGAAUUCUUUAGCACUGAUUUUUGUACCCAUAUAAUUCAUGACACAGAUUAGAUCCAAAAUGACUAUAUAUGGAGUGAAUGAAUUAUGGGAGGCAAGGGAUUAGGAUUAAGAUAAUACAAUGAUUCAAGGUGUUUUGCUUAUAGGAGAGGCAUAUUGCUGUGAAUUUCAUUUAGAGAAUUAAAAUUUAAGAGAAAAAUGAAUAAAAUCCCAUGGUAGUUUCCCUCUUACUGUGUGUGUGUGUGUGUGUGUGUGUGUGUGUGUGUGUGUGUGUGUGUGUGUUCGUGUGUGAAUUUAUAUUGAAUAAUUAGCAGAAUUAUAGAAUGAGCCUGUGGAUAUUGAAAAUGACAGGAAUUAUGUCCCCUAGUCUACUCAUUAGAAAGAAUGAAAAUAGAAGUAAGUGUGUACAUUGACGCUUUUAAACUGUAAAAUGAGUAGGUGAUUCAAAAGGUCAAACCGACUGAUUAUCUUCUAAAUAUUCCAUUCUCUUUAAAAUAUGCCAUAUUUAUAUGAUAUUGUCCUUUACACUGUGUGACCUCUACGUUCAUCAAAGGCAGCCACAAUAUCCUAUGAUUUGAUGUUCCCUGAGCCAGGGUGAAAUGUUCUCUCUACAAAACAGUUUGAAAGUAAAAUUAUGCUUUGCCACUCCUCUUAAUUCUCAGUAAACACACUUUUCAUCUUUUUGAUACCUUGAGUAUAUUAUCUUUUAUGGAAUUUGUAAAGGUCAGAGAAGACAAUUUCCUUUCUAAAUAGAUGGCAUGUGAACCUCUCAUAUUUGAUCUGUCUGAAGAUGAACCUUUUAAUGCUUUUUGCCCUACCUCUGUCUUCACUGGUAAUGAAAAGGGAACGCUAUAAACUGUACAGCCUGCCUGUGCUCAGAUGCUUGGCAUAUUUUGUUUGUCUUGCAUCAUAACAUUCAUGAUCUGAAUCACUUUAAAAUGAUCUCAAUGAACUGUUAGCAUGUUGGUUUCUGUGAAGAAUGUCAUGCUACAAAAAUCUUAGACUGAAACUCUCCAUGAAGACAAAGGUUUAUGGCAGCAGCUUUUACGUGUGCUUCCUUCCACUCAUUCAUCUACGUAAUGGAAAAUUCUAGUAUACUCAAUACCCACUAGGCUCCUAGUUGAGCCCCUUUGCUGGGCAAUAUUAAUGGAAGACGUAGAUAUUCUUCUUGAAAUGAAAGUUUAGAAAUGAAAUCAGGCACUGUGUGCAAAAAAGUGUUUUUAUCUUGUUGUUAAAGAUAUAACAUACCUACACAAAUGUAUAAAAGUUACAUAGGAGAAUCGAAAUCAUCUGACAAAUUUGCAAUAUUUUCGAUAUAAAAAAUUCAAACAGGAGACUUAAUCCAGAAAGAGAAAGGAAGGGUCACUUCAUAACAAGUGCAUUAGGACUGAUGUGUUAAUAUUUCACUUCAUGGACUGUAUUAAUUUUCCUGGUAUGUGGCAGAGAAUGAUAAACAAAUUAUUGGGAUCUAUUUCAAACAGAAGAACAAAGAAAAACUCAUUAGCUUCUUUUGGCCUUAAGCGAUCAAUGCUUCUCCCUGUGAUUAAUGAUCCUUUCUGUUUGUCCUCAGCCUCGGAAACAGGUGCAACUUCAUAGAGGAAACUUUUUACCUUUUCUAUUUGGGGUCUUGAAAAAACACUUGUUGUUUAAAGGUUAAUUUGUUAAACCAAGAUGUUUCUUUUUCAGCAUAUUUAAUGAAAAAAAUUGUUUUCAAUUAGAAAAGUUUAAAUUAGAAUGAUUAAAAUGUGCAUGUAUUUUGGUAAUCCUAAACCAAAUAUUAUUAUGUAGGCGUGGUGGCAUAUACCUUUAAUCUCAGCACUCAGGGGGCAGGGGCAAGUAGCUCUCUGUGAAUUCAAGGUGUGCCUAGCAAGUUGUAGUCUGUUUUGGUGAGAUUUUUGUCUCCCAAAAUAUUUGUAUUGUGUUCCAAAAUCAUAAAAAAUGUAUUUUCUAUAUAAUGCCCAUUAUAAAUUUUCUAUGUAUUUUAUUAUAAAUGUACAUAUACUAAUUUAAGUAGUCAUGCAUCAGAAUAGUUGUAUAAUUAUGUAAACACACAAAAAUUAUAUGAACACAAGUUUAUGUAAACUCAUAUAUAUAUGAAAUAAAUAUGUAUAUAUAACAUAUAAGCAUAUUGAGUAAUCUCAAAAUUAUACAUAUAAACUAUAAAUGCAUACAAGCACAUUAAACAAUGACCAGUAACAGAAUCAGAUUCCAGAUCACAGAGUGCCAUAUUAAGAACAUGGAACUUAAAUCUGACAAUCCCGCGCUCCAUUCUCUCUCUCAUUCUACCUCUGUAACCUUAGGGAAAUGACUCAAUCUCUUUGAGUCUCAUGCUCACUUAGGCUAAUGGAAUUGACUAUGAGAGUUACUCAAUGUUAUGUUGCAGGUAGCAAGCCUGGGUCAGAACUGCUAAUCAGUAACAAUGACAUAUCAUGGCUUGGCUCUCUGUUGUCACUGAUCCUGAGUUCUGUGUUCUUUCUGAUGUAUUCAGUACUCAGAGCUUUAGUUGAUGUAACUUGCAGUUCUUUCUAAUACAACUGUAUCUAAUACACUGUGCUCCCUUCUGCUGAUUCCUAAGCAGAAACAGGACCUGGGCAUGAAAGCAGGAAAAAUGAGAUAGCUAAGCCAGAGAGAAAUCAAAAGGCGAAUGCCAAGUUUGCAUGCCCGAACACUUCAUAGACCCGAGGUACUGAGGUCUGAAAAUUCUAACCUUCUUGGAGAUGUGUUUUCUUGUGAAGUAUCAACGAAUGAAAAUGUGUAAGGUUUCAUAGACUGUGUGAUGGACACAGUGAAUAAUUAAGAGCUAUGUAUCAUUUUGUAUUAUUUUAUAAAGCACUUUCACAUUUAAAGGCUGCAUGUCUUUGGUCUCUCCAACUUAUGCUGAGAGAUUUCAUAACAUUUAAAAAUUAGUUUUUCUAUUGAGAUAGAUCCUAUACAGAAUCAUCCCUGAAUAGUUUUUUUUAAAUAAAUAACUUUUAAAGGAACUGAAUAAUUAUCUUGCCAGAGCACUAUUAGUUUAAAAGUGAUAUUUUCUUUAGGUCUAUUUAUAUGAUUUAUUAUAUGUAUGUGCACAUAUAAUAUGCAUUUUAAGUAAACUUAUACAAUAGUAAGUUUUCUUACGGCCUUUAAAAGAAUCCUUGUUGUUGUUUAUCCCUGCCCUCUCCUCCCUCUGUAUCAUCCUCCCCUGUCCCUAGCUAGACUCCCCUCCCCAUCUUUCUCAUUUCUCCCUCCAUAGCACCUAUGCUCUAUUGUCCCCUUCUCUUGGGGUCAGUUCCUCCUCCUCAAGGGGUGUCAUUUUACUUUCUUGGAUCCCAUGAUUAUUCUAAGUCACAUGCUCAAACCUGAGGAUUCAGAGCUAGGCUGGUCAUCUAGUGAGUCUCAGAGAUCCACACCUCCCCAAUGCUGGGGUAUAAGCAUGCAAGCCACACCCAUUUUAUAUUUUAGCAUUGGGUGUUCUACAGAUUGAACCCUGGUCCUUGUGUUUGCAAGACUUAUGUUGAUUGGGUUAGUUUCCUCAUUGCUCUCUCUCUAUUUCUCUCUCUCUCUCUCUCUCUCUCUCUCUCUCUCUCUUUGGUUUUUUUGCCUCAGGGUUUCUCUGUGUAGCUUUGGAGCCUAUCCUGGCACUCACUCUGGAGACCAGGCUGGCCGAGAACUCACAGAGAUCCACCUGCCUCAGCCUCCUGAGUGCUGGGAUUAAAGGCAUGUGCCACCAACACCCGGAUUUUCUCUCUCUCUCUCUCUCUCUCUCUCUCUCUCUCUCUCUCUCUCUCUCGUGAAUUUUCCAACGUCAUGCCCUCUUGCUCUUAUAUUCUUCCUCGUAAUGAGAAAUGCAGAGCCAGCUCACCGUAGAUGUCUUUGUCCCUCUCUUUAAGUCUAAAUAAAUAAAAGAUACUGCUCAAAUAAAGUUUCUUGAAUUAUCCUUAUAUUAAUAACAUAAUUUAAGUAUUAUAAUCCCUUAUUGUAUACUCUUUCCAAAUUUCUUUCUGUAUGUUUUAUGUGGCCCUUGGUACAUUUCUCAAUGUGCUUCUUUAUUAAUUAUUUUUCAUAUGGAUGCUGCACAUUAAUGAAAAUGUCAAGACUGCCAGAAAGGUUUAGAAAUUACUGUUCAGAUUUCUAGGUUUCACUUGAUUCCAUUUGAGACAAACAAAAGAAAUAAACAAAGGCUUGAGUCCUGCCUUUCUCUCUGUGUUUAACCACAGCAGUUAGCUUCUUGGGAACUAACUUUUCAUGAAGUUGGAGGAUUAGAUGAGGCAAACUUCAGCUUCCUUCUUCCAGGAUUCUAACCUCAAAAUUGCAAUGUCGGUCUAGGUGGUAGAGAAAAAAAUUCCUCAAGAAGUUUUCAGGUGUGUAAUUUGUGCCAUCCCUUCCUAUUUCAUAUAUACUUCUGUGAAGUAAUUAUUUUAUUUGCAAUUCUUGAUAACUCAUUAGAGAAAAUGUAUCUGGGGGAUUAAAAAACAUUAGCAUUUUUUUGAGUUCCCUUGAACCUAUAAACCAGUCCAUGAGUUCCUUUUGGUCCACAUUCUUUUCCCUUUUAAAAGCUCUCCACUUAGGCAUGGAGAGACAGCUCUGUGGAUGAAUUACUGGUCAUGUAAGUGUGAAUGCUGGAGAUCAGAUCCACGGAGUCCACAAAAAAACAAAACAAAACAAAACAAAACAAAACAAAACAAAAAAAAAAAAACAAGAGAAAACAAAAGCCCAGCCUGUGUUGGUGUGGCAAUUUGCCUGUGAAACCAUUACUCUGGAGGCAGAGACAAGGAUUUGAUGAGGGAUGUCCUUCUAUAUGCUGUGAAUAUAUGUGCCUCUUAUUCAUUGAUGAAUAAAUGCUGAUUGGCCAGUAGCCAGCCAGGAAGUAUAGGCAGGGCUCCCAGACUAGGCUAAUUCUGGGAGAAAGAUGCAGAGAGGAGAUGCCAUGUAGCUACUGAGGGGGUAGGAUGCCACCAGAGCAUUCUCUAGAUAAGGCCAUGUGGCAACACAUAGAUUAAUAAUUAUGGGUCAAUAAUUAAGAGAGAGCUAGCCAGUAAGAAGCCUAAGCCAUCAGCUGAAUGUUUUAUAAUUGAUAUAAGCCUCUGUGUAUUUAUUUGGGAAAAAAGGGCUGCGGGACCUUGCGGGACAGAAGCUCCAUGUUCAAGGAUUUUCAGGGGAAGAAGACUAUGUAGAUAGAUUAGAUGAAUUAAUGAGCUCUAGGAUCAGCAAGAGAUCCUGUUUUAAUAAGUAAAGUGGUAAGCAGUCAAGGAAGACACCCAACAUUAUCCUUGGGCCAUUACACAAUGCAUAUAGAUGCACACACAUGCAAACACACAUUCAAGCAUGCAUGUACAUCCCACAUUUACGUUGUAGAAUUCUUUUGUUGUAGAAUUCUUAAUUUUUCCUUGACAUCUUGAGAAAUCUGAAUCUUUGUUUACUCUGUUUUGGUAAAUUAAACAUUUACUGAGGUGUGGCUUACACUGUCCCCUACAGUGUUUUGCUAUAGUUGAUUGAAAACAUCAAAUAUAUUUAUUUAAUAUAAAACCACAAAAUUAAUUUCUUUCCCAUUAUCUCUUAGUCUACCUAUAUCCCCUCCAUUCAUUUCUCCUUUUGAUAUUUGUAAGUUGCCAAAACUUGGCUAUUGCUUUCCAGUUCCUCUUGAUUCUGAACCUGCCUUUCUGUUUUCCUCUGCAUUAAGUGGGCAACACUAUAUAUUCUGUUAUGUCCUAUGUGGAUUGUGUGGGGGACCAAAAUAUUUCCGCUAUGGAAUAUUUUGAGAUCCAGCCUGGGGUUUCACUAAACAUGGAGUACUGGAAAACUCUGGCCCACUAUUGUAUUGUUAAUGCCAGUAAGGCUACUGUUGUUUACCAUAGCCUCAGGCAGGUAAUGACUCUAGAAAUGACUCUAGUUCUACAACAUGGAACUGAGAGCUCUCUGAAGAAGACAAGAUGCCUGUGUUUGGUCUUUAUCGCCGCUGGGUUGCUAGGUGCUUCCAGGUCCACACACCCCUACUCAGACUGAACUUCAUGGAUUAAGGCUGAGACAUGCUGGGUCACAACAAAAUGGUACCCGAACUCGGGGCCUGAGAAUGGGGGAAGAAGCCAUGGACACCACGAAAAAAACGGACAAGGCAGAGGCUUGGACAAUUCGAAGAGAUAGUCAUCUCGGGCGAACCAGUUGGAGAAGAAGCACGCGCAGAAAAAGGAAGAAAGAAGUGGCCGAAUGUGGAGGAGAACGAGGCGUGCUGGCUACCAGAAAGAUUGGUGAGAUACGUGGAACCGAGAAAAAUGGGACCUGGGCCCACAGGAGACCAUCUGAAACAGCUGGAGUGAAACACUGGACCUCUAUUUCCUGAACUUUGAGUACAUCCGACUAAUAGUGGGAGGAAGAAGGGAGACACACCCAGUUCCAGCUUCCCUACCGACGGACUACAUUCACCUCUCUGAAUCCGUGAGUGCUCAUCCAGGAGCAGACUAAGAACUUGAUAAAAAAAAACAGCUUGCUUUCUUGCCACAAACAGACACACAAAACUGUUUUGCCAGUUUUCCUGUUGGGAAAAAGGACUCAUUUAGGACAGUCGGAUACUGGCAUAAACCAGAGUGACAGAAGCUCCUUCACAAUGCUUAAACAAGACAUGGACAAAAGACUUUUUAGUUAACUUUCAAAGACUGAUAUUACAAACCUGAUGUUAGAACUUCGGACUUUGAGCAAGAAAUAGAAAAGUUUGAAGGGGCAUUGAGUCCCAGGCAGGGAAUAAAGAAAAAAGGUUUAGAAUUGUGAAAUUGUUCACACCCCACAGAUUGUGAGAAUAUCUUAUUGUCUUUUGAUUGUAUUGUAACUCACCCUAAUGUAUGUUCAUGAGAUUGUUAAUGUCUGUAACCUUGCUAUAUGUGUUAAGCAAAUGUUAUUAGAAACUAGAAGUUAGAGUUCAAUGUAACAAAAAUGUAACGUGUAAUUUACAAGCCUUAGGAUAGAAGUAUGUUUUAAGGAGCAAACUUUAAUAAGGUCCAUAUCAGAGGCCCUAGAGGCAUUGUCACGAAGAUUUUAAAAGGCCAUUUUAACCUUCAUAUGUCUCCAUCCCGCAGGAGAAUGUAUGCAGCCGUGAGGAUUUUGGAGCUGGACCAUCGCCUAUUCCCCACUAACCUUAUUUGUUUUACAGAGACUGUUUCCAGCCAGAGAAAGGUACAGUUUUCCUUGCCUUCAGGGACUCCUAAGACAGAACAUGCAUGAUGGGAUGCAUGAUUCCAUGACAGGCAACCCUGGUAGGUUGAAGGGAGCCUCCUAAAACAGGCGCAGUCAUCUGUUCUGAUGCAGAAGCACAGGCUUCUUUUUAUUAAUUUAAGAGAGAGGAAUUGUGGGGGACCAAAAAUAUUUCCACUAUGGAGUAUUUUGAGAUCCAGGCUGGGGUUUCAGUAAACAUGGAGCACCAGAAAGCUCUGGCCCACUAUUGUAUUGUUAAUGCCAGUAAGGCUACUAUUGUUUACCAUGGCUUCAGGGUAAUAUGCCUCUUAUUUGCAUUUCUGUGGACCUAAGCAUCUGGAUAGGCCCUCACCUGGGCAGAGGUGAGAGGUGUGUGAGGAUGAAAGGUUAGGAGUUAGGGGCAAGCGACCAGAGCAGAGAGAACAAAGAAAGAUGGUUCCCUCGUAGUAUUGGCAGGAUGGUUAAGAAACACCAGAAAGAUGGCUAAUAAAGAAAUGACUCUGGUUCUACCACAUGGAACUGAGAUGAAGUUCUUUGCUAGCUAUUUGCAAGUUCUUAGCAAGUUUGCUAAGUUUUCUUAGUUUGCUAGUUCUUAGCAAGCUCUUUGAAGAUGACAAGAUGCCUGUGUUUGGUCUUUAUCGCCGCUGGGUUGCUAGGAGCUUCCAGGUCCACACACCCCCACUCAGGCCAAACCUCAUGGAUUAAGGCUGAGACAUGCUGGGUCACGACAGGAUUGUAAAUUUUUAUAGAGUGAGAAAACAAAACAUAAAGUAUAAAAUGUACAUGUAAAGCUAUACAGAAAACAUUAAACAGUUCCCAAGUAAUCUCAGUAUAUAAAUGAAUACAAUUGUCAACUUAAUUCUAAAUUGUAUUCAAGGCAAGUAAAGACUCUGUCUUAAACUUCAAGAGGACAUAUGGUUUCUUAUGUGUCAUCACAAGGGACUGAAAACCUCCAUUGCCUAGUCUAAAAGUGUCCCUUUGCUUUUUGUGUAAUGCUUUGAAUGAAUGAGUUCAUUAACACAUAACAAGGGAGGAUUGGGCUGAGAACUCCAAGUCCCUCACAGAGGAGAGAUGUUAAAGGGAUGCCAUAACCAACCAUUGUAAUUUAGCAGGAAUGAGAAGACAGAAAUACUGGAAAGAAAUGAGAAUGGUGGUGGACACCCUCAAUUGUAGAAAGUUGGAAAGACAUAGUCAUGGAUGCAAGAUGGAACCUGCAAGGAGGGCUUGAUUCAAACAGGAUUUCAGACUACCUGAAGACAGUACAAGGGUAGUGAGCCACAGUCAGAAUGUGUUAUCCAUUGCAUAUAGAGGUUUCCUUCUCUUUUCUUUUAAUCUUUGACACAAGAAAAAUGUUAGACUGUUGGUAUUUAAUUGUCCAACUCUCUUAUUUGUGUCCACACUAGGGAAGCAUGGCAGCCACAUGAUUAUUUUGUUUAGGGACAGGUUAAGUAGGGUUGAUGUAUAGAGAUAUUCUUUCUUUUGGUUAAUAUAACUCCACAACACUGAAUUACUGCACUGUUAAGUUUGAAUAGUGAGGCUGUUGAAGAAACAAAUUCUAAAAGGUCAUUUUUAUGCACAGACACACUUUUCUUAGGAAACUCCUCCAGGAUCUAGUUUAUUGAAUUUUUAUCCUGUUGCAUUAACUAAAUCAUGUAAUUUCACAUUUAGACAAAAUGAAAGGCACGUUAGUCAAUAGCCAUUAGACUCUAACACAAAUAACCAUUAACAACCUUAUUUUAUUUUAUUUUGGUUUUUUGAGCAGGGUUUCCUUGUGGCUUUGGAGGCUGUCCUGGAACUAGCUCUUGUAGACCAGGCUGGUUGAGAAUUCACAGAGAUCCACUUACCUCUGCCUCCUGAGUGCUGGUAUUAAAGGUGUGCGCCACCACCACCUGGCUGCACAACCUCAUUUUAUUGAGCACAAAAACAUACAGUAGUGGCCUCUCUCACAUGUAUCCUUAAAUACUUAAUAUUCCCCAAACAUCACUGUCCUAUUCACUUUCCAUUUAGGAUAGUGGGUUUCUUUUUAGAUAAGAACUAGAAUUUUUUUGAUGAAUUUUAUUUUUUUUCCAAAAUAGUUAUAUCAAUAAUUAUUUUAGUUAGUGUUUGGAUGGAUAUAUGAGCUCAAAAUUAAUACUAGUACAAAUAUGGGUUUAUUACCAAUUUAUCUGUGUGGUAUUGAAAGAUAAUGACAAAAUUUAAUUGCAAACAGACUUGAAUUAAUUUUUUUCAGCCUGGCCAAUGGUCCUAUAUUCCAUAUGGGUAUAUCACGCAAGGCUGUUUUUGCUGUGUUUCUCAAAAUGGUCCUGUUAAAUGAGCCCCUAAUUUUUUUGGAAGCUAAUAUUAAUUGUCCUGGAAAAUGUGGAUUAAAUGCUUAAAUAAAAGUUCAUUUGCUAAACUUAAGAUGAAAAAGUUGCAAAACUUUGCUCUUGGUUAACAUGCACUUGUUCAAAGCAAUUGAGAUUUGAAUUAUUUUGUACCAGAUUAUGAAAUGAAAUACUUUUUAAAUACAUGGAACAAAGAUUUGUGUCCUGCAUAUGCUUUGAAUCUGACGAAAUAGAUGCUUAGUCAACCAGCCUUCCUAACCAAAUGAGUCAUUUGUUUGCUUCAUUUCUUCUUAAGACCUGUGAGAGGUUUUCCAAGCUGUCCCUCUUGUAGCAGAUGGAAUACUCACAGGAGUCCAUCCCUAUAGCAACAACAGCUGCACUGGCAACCAGUGCUCUAUGGGUUUCUGAAUAGCUUGUAAGGACAUUGCAAUCUGAAAACCUCUCUUUCUACCACUGGGAUCCCUGUUGAUGCCAUUUGGAUAAUGUCUGGUUUGACCUGAAUCUCAGAGGAGAUUGCUAUCUUGCACAUGACUUAAGAGACUAUACGAUAAGAAUUAUAUGUGGGGAAUAGGUAUACUUUUUAUAGAUUUCCUCCUUUAAGUCAUAAGAUCUAAGUAUUUGACAUAUGUCACACAAAGUUAUCUGCCUUAAAUAAGCAUCACCUGAAACCUACAGUUGAGGAAGAUAAAAGUUAUGGGACUUAUUAGAUUAGACCUUCUAUAAAAUCAAGGGCCAUGGUAGAAAGUUUUCCAUGAAGUUAGUUUAUUAGUGUGUACAGAGUAGGUGUUAAAACAAUCCUUCAACAUACCUUCUCAUUUCGAAUGUACCUGGUAUUAGGAUUCACAAUGCUUUAUAGGUAUCCUUUGGUAAAGUCAUCAGUAGUGUCCCUGAUUUCAAAAACAGGAAUGCAGUCAUAGCAUUGGCCAUGCAUUGCAUAAACAUGGGUGAUGAUUCCAAGUGCUACCUUACAACUCAUUUAUUUAGGGUUAGUUUACUGGUAGUGCCAAAAUGAAGUUUAAAAUUUGGAGGGUAUACUGGUAAGAAUAACUUCAGCAUAUCAAAAUAUUUAACAAGUAUUAGCAUAGUGAUGAUUUGAGUGUGUGGAUCAAUCCUAACUUGGUAUCAAGAUAUGGUUUCAUUAUUGCUGAUAGCAUCAUUACCCAGAUCUUACCACUCUUUCCUCGUACUCUCAGACUUUCCUGAGCUAGUCUGGUCAAAAUGGUGCUCACAGAAAAUCAAUAGAGGAGGAGGGUAUGGUUUUAAGAUAGAAUAUUCAUGGCCACUCUCAUCUCAUGGGGACAAGAUGCAUGGGAGAAAAUAGGUCAGGUGGAAGCUUAGAGAAACCUAUGGCUUCUGUCACUGGAAAGCUCUGGCUCACCUAGACUAGUAAAUUAUAUAUUUAGAGAUUUUCAAGAGUAAACUCUGUCUGAAAGCUAAUUUGUAUGUCUCAGUUUAAGCUUACAACCAGUCUUCUGCAGUGAAAAGGGGCCUAUCAAUCAGAGUCUGCAUGGAAUUCUAAACACACACACUUGCCUUGUACUCUGUAGCCUGCAUGUCCAGGCUGUCAGAGGGAUCAUCAUUUUCACUACACUUUGUGUCAGAUAAACACAGCUUUCAUGUCACACACUCAGUACAGCGUGAUUGCAUGCGGCUGCAUUGAGAAUCCCUCAUUUAUAAAGUGGAACUACAGCAUAACAUGAUAGCCAAAAUGCUAUAAAUGAGCAUUGGGGCUACCUUGGCCUCCCUCCUAGGAGGUUGGGAGUUCUUGGAAAUGUUCACAAAGGUACUCAUUAUAACUGGGUCUUGUUUGGAGCACAGCUCAUGAAUGUGGAGCUUGUGGAUAACAUUACAGGGAAGCUCUGUUUUGCAGGGAUGCAAUCCCUUGCCAGAGAACCGUGUCUGCUCCACAUACGUGCAUUCCUUAUGCUGCCAGCUGUUCUGUUAUUAUCUUUUGCAGUCGGAAGGCUGGUUCUACUCUCGGGUGGCUUCCUCUGGGGUGAAAGAAAAGUAGGGACACCUGCAGCAGAUCUCAGGUCUUUCCUUUUAGCUGAGGCUGCUUCCAUUUGCUAUUUUUCUCCUCAUUCCCAGGCUUUCAAUUUGGUUAUGGUCUAUAGGUACUUAUUUUUUCUUUCAUUUUGACAUUGUUUUUGAGAAUUGAGUGCAUGAAUAAUAUAUUUACAUUAUUUUGACCUUACUCUCUCUACUAACUCCACCUCCUCUCCUUCUCAAAAUCAUGGUGACCUACUUUAAUUAUUAUAGUUACACUCUCAUAGUUACAUACAUACAAAGAGAGAAAUGGAGACAGGCAGAGAGACACUAUACACAUAUAUGUAUACAUGUGUAUAUAUUCAUACAACCUGCUGAAUGUACUUAGUGUUGCUCAUAUGUAUAUUUAGAGCUGACGCCAAGGAUUCGAUAACCUACCCAGGGGAACUACUUUUCUUGUCUCUCCAACCUCUUGUUCUUACCUUCUCAUUUCCCCCUAAGUUUGGAGAGUGUGCGGUUUGCUGAGAAUUCCUGUUUGCUUCUGUGUGUCUGUGGCCUCCUGUCUUCUUCUAAUUUACAUGACCUCUUAUCCUGCGGUGACUUGGAACAGAGAUCGACUCAUGCACUUUUCCAUUGAGCUGUACCCUCGCUGUCCUGUUAGCAAGACACUCAAUUCUGUUCCCACACAUUACAGAAUAUUUAGGCUUUGAGUAAUGGAAACAGUGAAUACCAACUCUGGUAGCACUUUGAAUUCCUGAGCGUUGGAGUUCAAUUACAAGUGUGUUUACUGUAUUAUUAGAGCUUGUUUCCCUCAAUGAGGGCUUCACGAGCUGGUGACUAAAUCCCUUAUUUGGAGUCUCUCUCACUAUCAUCAACACAUUAGUCACUUAAAACUUUUCAGUGAAUCAGAAGAGAAUAACUGGUAGCUGAGGAUUUAUAAUUAUGUCCUUUCAAAGGUCCACGAGAACAAAUGGAUAGGAAACUAUCUCCUUUUGCCUGACUGUAUUUGUAAAUUAUAAUGUAAUGACUCAGUUUCUCAGUUUGGGAGAAAACAUAUAUUUUUAAGGAUUAGACUUUGUAUAAACACAAGAUUUAUGUCUGAUUGUUCAUAUGUAUUUAGUUUCAUAUGCAGGAUUUGAUAUGAUUAAAUUAGCAACAUAUUACUAACAUUUCAUUUGUUCAUAACUUAGAAAUGAUUUUGUGUUGGAAAAUCUCUGUCAGGUUUGGAGAAUGAACACAAAAGAUUAUUUAGAGUGAACAUAAGGAAAGGAGAAACAAUCUCCUAUAUAUAAAAGGGAUUCUUUGGUUGGAAUCCAUACCAUAUUGAAUACCAUUUCUUCUCCUUAUGCUCACAGAUGUGAUACUGAGAGAAGCUCUGUGGGCAAGGAGCACAAAUCCAUCAACACAAUAACUAUAUUGCAGGAAAAAGAAACUGUAGUCCCCUUCAUAGUGGAAGAAAGAGAUAUGACACUGUCCUCUAACUCUCUCUCUCUCUCUACACACACACACACACACACACACACACACAGAGAGAGAGAGAGAGAGAGAGAGAGAGAGAGAGAGAGAGAGUUCCUCAGAGAGUGACUUUUGUUACUAAUGUUGGGAGGUAUAACUGAGUUGGGGCUGUAGAUUUAGCCUUGGUGUAUGGAGAACUGUGGAGUAAUUGCUGUAGGAGUGGUUGCCAUGGAAGCCUGAGCCUUUUGCUUAUGCAAUUUAAUUAUACCCCAGAACCUCUUUGAGCCUGAUAUUUUAUAUAAUUCCACCAUUUCAUGAUGUAAUGCUGUUGCUCAGGUCCAAAUUUAUAGCAUGAUGUGUCAAAGGAUUCCAGUUUACGAUGAGUGUCUAAUGACCCCUGCUAACUUGAUGUACUUUGGUUAAGAUUCAUUUCUAUGAAGAUAAGAUAACACACUCACCAUUGUUCUUAAAUGAUGUGACUCAUCUGUAGCAGGAGACAUUACUUUGGUUUACAUUCCUGAUGGGUUUCUACCAGGGUCUCUGUGGUGGUUAAUAUGGAUUGUCAACUAGAAAAGAUUCAGAAUCACCAAAGAGGCAGACCCCUGGGCAUGACUGUGAGGGAUUAUCUGUAUUGAGUUGGAUUAGGAAAACUCUUUAAAAGUGUAGGUGGCACCUACAGUGACUGAGAUUCCAGAUUGAAUAAAAAAGAGAAAGUGAACUGAGUACCAGUGUUUAUCACCUUUGAUUCCUCGGUGUGGACAAAAUAUGACUAGGUUCCUUAAGCUUUUACUAACAUGACUUCACCACCACGAUGGACUGUACCCAUGAAUUGUGAGACAAAAUGUUUGUUUCUCGUCAGGUGUUUUGUCAUGGUAGCAAGAAAAUAACUUGUAUAGCCUCAUUGCAGCUUUGUGUAUUUCUAUGUUCUAGUCAUUUUAUGCUCUACCAUGCAUUGGAUUUUUUUUGCAACAUAUGAAUCAAAUAUCAAGACACCUUUACAGAGCCUGAGUUUGAUGAUAGAUUUUCCUAGCUAGGUGUAGUAUUUACAACUGUUAGUCUUACAAGUUUCUAGUGAGUACAUUCAAUCAGGAUAGUAACAAAGUGGGCUCUAUAUCACCUAUACUCAAGCAGGUUCUAUAUUUCUUCCUUUUGAACUGUGGCAGCAUUUGAGUUUCAACUUUUUCAACAUAUAGGAAGAAGAAAUUCAGGAAUGUGUUUGGCGGAGAAGGCUUGCCCCCUUAUUGGGUACUAUAACACAACCAUAUAUUGACCAGUUAUUAUCGGUCAAUAUGCAUUAUAUAUUGUUCAUACUUUGAUGAGUAAAUUCCUCCUGCUUCCCCAGACAACAAUUUUAUCCUCCUAUAUGUUAUGAAGAAGUUAUGAAGAGCUAAGGCUCUCCAUUAUAGUCUCUGGUGGCAGUUUUUUGCCACCCUGAGUAAUGCUGGCUUCUUCUGGGAGUAGUCCAACAUUGUGUUGGAUGUCAAUGGAUGCACUGUCUUCUGACUGCAGAAUGGCAUUUAUCAUUAAGGAAAACUUAGGUAACAGUUCAUGUAGUUUUAAACCACCUUUCUCUUGGGAAUUUUUCUGUGAUUUUAGUAUUUUAUUUUCCUUGGAAUAGAUUGAAAAGUUUAGACUUAGACACUGAAGAUACACUGCUGGUCAACUGAAGAGUGAAAACGGCUCUAGUGUUUUCUGGAGGAUGGGAGCACGGUGAUGAGUGCUGGAGAGUCUAUAGAAAACUCUUCUCAGACACUUUGAUUCUUGAAUCCCAUACCCAUUUCAAUUGCUUUAGACACCUCUUUUCCCCUUCCAUCACUUGCUUUUUAUUUUUUACAGCGGUCAUUAAUCGGUUCCCUUUAGCUAGAACACAUUUCUCUAUCUUCCCCUAAGAGUACAGCAAACAAAUUAAGUUCAAUAAAGAACUCAUAUUACAAAAAAUUACUUCCUUGUGCUAGGAAGUGUAAUAAGGUCCUAGAAAUUGUUCAAUGCUGACUGUAGUUCAGUUUAUAAACACCCUUCAAGCAUUGAGCACUCUGCACUUGGAGCAAGAGCACAUCUAAAACGGAAGGCACUUAGCAAGGAAUUAUCCAUUACCCUUUCUCCCCCCCCAACUAGCUUAAAACACACACACACACACACACACACACACACACACACACAGAAAACCCACUGAAAUGGGAUUCCCUGAGAGGAACUGGGUUUUGCUGGAGGAUGAUGAGAUCAUGCUAAACCUAGUGAGACUGUUUUCAAAUUUCAAAUUGAAACAUUUAUUUAAUUAUCUUUGUACUGUGACAGGAAAGAAAUUGUAUUAUUGCAUCUGCCACUAAGGGAAGAGUAGUUGAUUAGCUAGUUCUAACUUGUAGAAUUCUCUUGAACCAUUCUCUCAAAGCACAUUUCUUCUUAUGUUCAGUGAUAGGGGAAUAGGACCAGCAUUUUCUAUUUCUUCUAAUGAGCCUUCUAAUGGUGUAAUGCCUGAUGCAUUUAAUUUUUAUUUUAGAAAACAUACAUGUCAUUGAGACUAAAUCUAUUUAUUGUUCACUGUAAAUUUCCCCCAAGAUGUGUUUUUGUUUAAAAAUCAUUAAUAAUUCAUACUUUACAGUUAAAAGUGUAUUUAUUCCUUCAAUAAAAAUAUAAUAAAUGGCCAGGCAGUGGUGGUACACAUCUUUAAUCCCAGCACUCAGGAGGCAGAGGCAGGCAGAAUUCUGUGAGUUCAGGACCAGCCUGGUCUACAGGAGCUAGUUCCAGGACAGCCUCCAAAGCCACAGAGAAACCCUGUCUUGAAAAAAUAUAUAUAAUGAAUACAUAUUAAAUGAAAACAUGGAGUUUUAUGUAUAAUAUAAUGUCAGCAAUUAAAAACAUUUAAAAAUGUACAAAAUGAAUGAAUGAGUGAUUAAAAAGUUUCAUGUAAAGAGACAAAUGAAAAAUAGAUAAUGGCUAUUAUGAAUAAAGCUACCAUGAACAUAGGUGAGCAAGUGUCUUUGUGGUGGUAUUGAUUGUCUUUUGGGUAUACCACUCUUUUGCUCAAGAGUGUUAUAGUUGGGCAUUGAGGUAGAUCAAUUCCCAAUUUUCUGAGGAAUCACCAUAUUGACUUCCAUAGUGGCUGAACAAGUUUACAUUCCUAACAGGAAGAGUGUUCCCUUGCUCCACAUCCUUG
rnacentral:lncRNA from 1 species